AAGACCUUGCGCUUUUGGAGCGGCCGAUGUCUGAUUAGCUAGUUGGUGGGGUAAUGGCCUACCAAAGCUUCGAUCAGUAGCUGGUCUGAGAGGAGGACCAGCCACACUGGGACUGAGACACGGCCCAGACUCCUACGGGAGGCAGCAGUGGGGAAUUUUGGACAAUGGGCGCAAGCCUGAUCCAGCCAUGCCGCGUGAGUGAAGAAGGCCUUCGGGUUGUAAAGCUCUUUCAGCCGGGAAGAAAAGGCUACGACGAAUAAUCGUAGCUCAUGACGGUACCGGAAGAAGAAGCACCGGCUAACUACGUGCCAGCAGCCGCGGUAAUACGUAGGGUGCGAGCGUUAAUCGGAAUUACUGGGCGUAAAGGGUGCGCAGGCGGUUUUGUAAGUCAGAUGUGAAAUCCCCGGGCUUAACCUGGGAACU
rnacentral:rRNA from 1 species